UUAUUUGCAAAGACAAAAAGGCAAGAAACAAACAGCCAUUGAAAAAACGUACAGCAGGAGAGCACAAUAACUUACACUAUUUACAGGAACACACCAAGGUAGAAAACACACACACACCUCAUGCUCUGACAAACCCAGCCCGGGGCCGGGCUGCACAACCCCCCCAGAGGCCACAGCAGCCUCCAGAGCAGCUGGCCUCUGGCAAAAGCUCCGAGUGUGAAAAGGCAUCUGCUGUUGUGCUCCUUGUGCAGAAAGAGAGAUGGAGCAGGGGACACAGUGCUGCAGCUGCCCAGCCCCGCGGGGGGCUGCACCCGGGGCUCCCAGGCAGGGGGAGAGCUGGAAGGAGCCAGGGCAGAGCUGUGCUGGGUGGGGGGACAAGCCCUGGGGCAGGAGGGAGUGCAGGGCUGUAUUUUCUGGGAGCUGGGCCUGCCCCAGUUACAGCUGGAGCACCAUGCAGCACCUGGAGGGGCUGGGGGUCCUCGUCCCUUCCCAGAAGGGUGAGGGGGGCUCAGGAGGAUGUGCAGCCUGCAGGAGACAGUGAAACCCCAGGGAGCCUGUGGGAAGCAAGCUGGAACCCUGUGCGUGGCAGGGAUCGGGGAUGGUACCUGGGCUCUCUGCAGUGUGGGGCACGGGCAGGAGCGGUGAGGAGCACAGGAAGAGGGGUGAGGAGCACUGGGAGAGCACCGUGGGAAGCAGGCACUGGGUUUGCAGCACCAAGGCAGGAGGCAGCAACUGAGACCCCUGAGCAGCUGUGCUGAGAGGUGGUGGGGAGGAACAUCACACCUGGGGGGACAGGAUGGGACCCCAGAGCUCCCAUUCCUCGCAGCUGGCCAGCCCAGCCUGUCAUCAGAGCUGGAGGUGGCAGGGAGGGGACACUGCUCAGGAGGGCUCACAGUGGUUUGGGGAUCCAGUGCUUUUAGGCUCCUGACUUUGGUCCACCCCUGUUGUGCAAAGCUCAGCUCUGGGGCAGCCCUGCUCCCUGCACAGAGGCUGGAGCUGUGUGCUGGGGGUGAGGAGACCCCCAGAGCAAGAGUUAGGCCCUGGGGGAAGAGGCAUGACCCAGCAGCUUGAGGAAGGAGUGCAGCUAUGAUCACAGCCUGGUCACAAAUCGAGUGCCACCCCAAACUGGCCGUGUGGCUGCCCAGGCCCUGGGCCAGCCUGAGCUGGGGGUUCCAGAGCCCCCCUGGUUUCUGUGCCGUGCCUGGCACUGAAUCUGGACACAACUACGUUUUUUGGGAGUGAAAAAUCAAACAUCACACACCAGAAUCAGCUUCUCACACACCAUCCCCAGCUUGGGCAGAGGCUUUUACAGCACCAAGGCCCUGCUGCCCUGCAGCUGGCUCUGGGCAGUGGUGGCUGGAGCCAGCCCAUGCCAGCAAUGUGCUUUGCACAGAUAUUUCCCAGUCAAGAGCUCCAUCACAGCCACAGAGAGCAUCUGUGAGAGCAGAGGGAGAAAUUCGGCUGAGCCCAGACUGUCAGAGCUCCCUUUCCACCCUUCCAUGGGAGCCACAUCCAGGCUGCCAAUCAGCCCAGUCACCAAUGGCAACACCACAGAUCCCCAGCCAGGAAUCCCAUGAGAAAUGGGAGCAGAACCUCGCUCUGGGGGAUCCCACAGCAAAGGGGGAGCUGGCAGGGCAGGGACUCCAGCCCUGCUGCCCUGCCCAGGAGGCAGGGCUGGGAACACAGGGGGUGGCUCAGACAUGCAGCAAGGUGGCAGUGAGGCCACGUGUCCCCAGGACGAAUUCAAGUGUCAAAACCAUAACAAUAACAAUAAUUAAGAGAGAAAAAAAAAAUCUUACACCACAAAAUCCCCACCCCAUCCCCAACAGGAAACCCAAUGACGACAGCACCCAGCUUGCACCGUGAGGUAGCUAAACCAGAUCAACACCCAAAAAAUGCUCUUUUGCAUGAGAAACAUCAACCCACACAGGUACUGACACACACACACACACACACACACACACACACACACACACACAGCUAUGGGAUCACAGUCACCCCUGGCCUGGUUCCAGCCAGGACAGAGUUAAUUUUUGCAGUAGCCAGGAGGGGCCAUGGCCAGAGCCCAGAGGUCCUUUCAGACCACCUCACAUCAUUGCUGGGCAGGGGGAAGGGAGUCUCUUCCAGGGAGAAGGGAUCUCUUCCAGUCAGGGUAGCUUGCACUGCGGUGAGCAUUUGCAUGUGAUUUUCUCUCUUUUGUACACUUUUGUUAUUAAUAUUGUUGCUGUUAAUUGUUUUUAUCUCAUUGCUGUUUCCAGUCAAUCUCUACCUGUGAUUUUUUCACCUUUGUGCCUCCAGUUCUCCUCUCCAUUCCACCACAGGGAAGGAAGGAGCUGGGGCUUGUGGCAGUGCAGUUUUAGUGGGAACACUAAAUUGGGGAAUACCAUUCCUAAACCACAACAGUUUGUUUUGUUUUGUUUUGUUUUGUUUUGUUUUUUUUUUGCAUCCAAAGUAGGGCUUGAACGGUUGAGAUAACAACAGAUCUGCCCAGAGUAUGUUGGAAGCAAAUUUGAUCUAAACAUUUUCUGCAUUAGGUGCUGAGCCAGUGGUGACAAUGUUUUCUGGUCUGCCUAUGUGGGUACCUAACCCUGUUCAUAUUUCUGUCUGUUCCCAUCACAGCCUCUGUCUCAGGGAGGAGGAUCAGGAUUGCUCUGUCACUUUAUGCCAUGAUAACACCAAGGGCAGUGAGGGGCAUUUGGGAUGUGUCUUGAGUGUUGCCCUCCUACCCUUACCUCAGGCACUUCCUUUGGGAGUCCAUUAAUAAACAUCAUGACCUCUGGGGGGAACAGGGGAGGAUGAUUUUCCCCAGACUUUCACCCACUUUCCCCCCUUGAGGCCUGUUAAAACAGCUUUUGAAGCUCUGAAUUCCCUUUGGAUGUUAAGGAAAUCAUAUUUUUCCAGAUCACCUUACUGCAGGCCACAUAAUCUUUGGAGUCAAGAAAGAGAUUUCUAGGGAAGUUACUCAGAGAUCUAUCCUGAUGGGGAAUAGUCAUGAUUGGCAUGGAAUGUGGGAGACAAUGGGCCACUUUGGGAAGAAAUUCUCUCCUCCAGUGGUUUGGAAGUGUCCCCCUGAACAAGUAGGGGACGCUGUAAAAGUGCCAGAGCACUUGCAAGGAGAAUGCUGUGGCAGUUCCAGCGAGGAGCAGGAGCCUCACCGCAGCGUGCUGGGCCCUGUCAGCAUUUAUCAGACACUGCUUUGCACCAGACAGCACCCUCAGGAGGAGGAGGAGGAGGAGGAGGAGGAAGGCAGAGCAGCAGGCACCGUGGCCACUCAAGCUGCAGCUGAAGCACAGGAACAACCCGUGCUGGCAGCAGUGCCCCUACACAGAAGAAAUCCAAAUCUCUAUCCAGUUUGUAUGGAGAGGGAUGAAGAGGAAGCAGGGCCCUCACAACAGGAGGAGGAGGCAGGGCUGGGGAUAAUCACUCCAUGCCCACCCCAGGUGAGGGAAAUCUGAAGAGGUUUCAGCUGCCAGGGGGGUUGAGCCCCUGCUGACCCCACUGCUGCAAUGCUGGGAUGCUGCAGCCACGCUGUGGAGCCAGAUGGGAGCGAAGCCAAACUGGGAUCCCUGUCCUGGGACGUGGGCAUGGACAAGGGAAGAGCACAGAAACCCCCACCUCUGCAGGCAGCUCCUGCCAGGCUGAGGGAAAGGCAUUCCCUCAGGGAUGAUCGAGCAGAGCACCCAGGCAGGUGGAGCAGCAUGGAGAAGGUGCCCAGCACCCCAGGGAGUGGCAGAGGGAGUCCCUAGGGAUUCAAACAAGCAGCAGUGCCCUGCAGAUGAGCUCCAGUGCACACCAUGCACGUGCCAGGAGGUUGUACACAGCACAGGCUCAUUGGCAAUGAUGUGGAUGAUUUUCCCCAGUCUUUCACUCACUUUUCCUGCUUGAGGCCUGUUAAAAUAGCUUUUGAAGCUCUGAAUUCCCUUUGAAUGUUAAGGAAAUCGUAUUUUUCCAGGUCUCCUUACUGCAGGCCACAUAAUCUUUGGAGUCAAGAAAGAGAUUUCUAGGGAGGUUAUUCAGGGAUCUGAACAGAAGGAGAACAAACAGUGUUAAAGGUGACUCCCCAACUCUGAUGAUGAAGAUUAUCAUUUUUUCUUCCUGACAACCUGUGUCCC
ensembl:lncRNA